GACGAAGGAUGCAAGCGUUAUCCGGAUUCAUUGGGUUUAAAGGGAGCGUAGGUGGCCUUAUAAGUCAGUGGUGAAAUCUCUGGGCUUAACCCAGAAAUUGCCAUUGAUACUGUAGGGCUUGAGUAUAGAUGCCGUUGGCGGAAUAUGACAUGUAGUGGUGAAAUACAUAGAGAUCGUAAGGAAGACCAGUGGCGAAGGCGGGUCUCUGGACAGUUCCUGACACUGAGGCACGAAGGCCAGGGGAGCAAACGGG
rnacentral:rRNA from 1 species